AGGGCCGCGCACCGGGGACGGCGAGGGCCAAGGGGGCCCCGCAGGUUACCCGGAUGAGGAGGGCGAAGAAACAGGGUUACCCGGAUGAAGAGGGCUCCGCGGGGGAGGUGGAGGGAGGGCAGCCGGGAGCGGGAAGCGGGGGGCUCUCUCUGAGGGAAGCGGGGAAGGCGGCGGCAAAUGCCCGGAUGGCCGGAUCAACCGCGGCGCAUCGCUUCCCCCGCCGCCGCCGCCGCUCAGUAGGGAGCGCGCCCGUCAAUUCCCCGCCAGGCGCCGGAGCUUCUCCCGAGCAGCCCACACCAGCCGGGUCGGCCUCGUCCCCAAUUUCUCCUCAGAGGCUUUCGGGCCUUUCGCGGUCUCCGGAAAGAGGCGCCGGCGGCGGCGGCGGCUACUACUACUACUACGGCCCGUCUGCGGGCCCGGCCUAGUGUCAACAUCAACACAGCCGGCCUCUGACCCCGGCGAGCUCGACUUCCGUUUCCACGCCCCCUGGCAACAGGGGGAGAUGUUGAUUUACAGGUACUUAAUAAUUGCUGCAAGGAAAACUCUGGUUAGAAAAUGAAUGUGGGGUCCGGGGCAAGAGACAGCCCAAGUAAGCUCUAUGUUUCACGUGGUCCUAUCGAAGGAUGCUAACUUCAACACAUCCACUUGGAUCCCCCUACUUUGCUAGAGCUGGAGACUGACCAGAGGAAUUUUGUUCCCCAGGCAUCCUCACGCUCCAUUCUUCCUCAUUCAUUUGCUGCUGCUUCUCCAGACAAGGCCUCUGUCAUAAGCCACCAGACCUUACUCCUCUCUGAGCUUAACUCACGGGUGACUCCUGGCUACCCAAGGCCAUGCUGACUCCCCACCGGUAGCCAGGAGAGAGAAAGCCAAGACGCUGAGCAAAAUAAAGAGUGGCCAGCAGAUCGAAACAAAAAUGGCUGAUCCUGUUGAGAGAGCAACCUUUGCUGGACGCUGAGAGCCAGCCAGCUUGAUGCAUGCAACGGGACUUGUGGCUCACUUGAUACCUAGAACGGUAUCCGCCAUCCCACCCAAGUUCCUUUUCUGCCAGGUUCGGUUCCUUCUCCGGUGAGCACACGGAACGGUGCGAGGUUUUCAGGAUCAAGAGCCAAGUCUCUCUUUCUCUCUCUUGAUCAUAACCUUAAAAAUGUCCGGAGGAGGAGGAGGAGGAUCACAGACCACAGCCCUGCUCUGCAGGUUUGGUUCAGUUCUUCACAGCGUAUCUUCCGUCAGGGUAGGCGGGUGGGGUGGGAAUGGGGGACACGGCUGCACAUGCCACGUGGUGCUCUGUAGCCGUGGGCUUUGGAUCCCACUCUUCGGAGGUAUAAUACACAUGCACAGUCUCGAUGCUACGCAGUGGGGUGCAGGGCUGUGGGGGGGUGUCGGGAGAAUGAUACAUGAGAUUCCCAUGAGGUGUCGUGUUUUGGUGCAAUAGACUUUUUUUCUUUUUUUAAAGUGCAGUUUCCAAGUUACAGAACAGGUAUCGGGAGGAGGGCAGAGAGAAAAAAAGGCAGAGAGAUAGACAGGGAGACAGGGGCUUCUAAGGCUCCGUCCGUCCCAGAAAUGGCUCAGCCAGGAGAGGCAGAAGAUUGGGGGUGGGAACUGGUAGGAAGCUUAGCCGGUUCUAUUUCCAUCCCUUUCCCCCAAAGGCUUCCUCAUCUUUAGCUGGAACAAACUCCAGAAUCCCUUGCUCUAACCACUAGGCAAUACACCCCCCCCAACUCUGAUCAUGCUUAGGACCAGAAUCAAAGAGCCUCGAUCCUCAGAGCUCGCCUUUCCAUCUGCAGAUGGGCAUCCAUGACACCCCCCCACUCUUGACCUCCCUCACCCAACAAUCUUGCAGUCCCACUAUUAAGACCCCUGCCCUCCACAGCCAAAGGUAGGAUCCAGCAGCCCCUGCUCCCUCUCCCUGCUGCUGCAAUGCCCCCAAACCCCUCUCAGAGUCAAACCAGGGAUUUUGACUCCGCCUGAUCCCAACCUAAGGAGUAAUAGGUUUGGUAUAGUGUG